GCAGAGAGGACAUGUCAUGCAUGCGGCAAGCUUCUUUCUUUGGACCUUCACCACCUGGUUGAACAUCAUCUUCACUGACGCCGCCACCUGCGUACUAUAACUCACACGCAUAAAACACAUACACAUACACACUUUUUUAAAUUUAUUCACGUACCCCACAUGGUGCAUGUUACCAAUACGCAACAAAUCACGAGAAUUCUAUGCCGUUUUUG
rnacentral:misc_RNA from 1 species